rnacentral:ncRNA from 1 species
CAUAUUUCGAUGAUAAGGAUCAGUAGUGAGUCCUGUACAUGACAGAGAGCCGACGGUUGGUGCAAGUCGGUUGACAGUAUUUCACGAACUCGCCUUGGAGAAAUGCGGUGAUUACACCAUCUUGCAACCGACGAAGCAACACUUGUGUUCAGGAAUGGAAAUCCGCAUCGGUUAACCGCCGUUACAGGUCCAAAGGGAGUGGAUGACGAAGCACGAUCGUCCGCUAACUAGGGUGGUACCACGGGAAUUCAACCUCUCGUCCCUAGC